rnacentral:pre_miRNA from 1 species
ACAAGUCUUAGUCCAGGUUUGAGGUAUCAAGGCUUAAGCCUACACUAAGACUUUUGG